GGGUUACGGUUAGUGAUAGGGUUAGGGUUUUGUUAGGGUUAGGGUUAUGGUUCGUGUAGAGUAAGGUUGAGGUUAGAGUAUGGGUUUGGGUGGGGUUACAUUUAGGGAUAAGGUUAGGGUUACGUUUAAAGUAAUAUUAAGCAUUUGGGUUAGGGUUAGAGUUAGGGUUAAGGUUAGGGUUAGCUUAGGGUUACAAUUAGGGUUAGGGUUAGGGUUAGUGUUAGGGUUAGGGUUAGUGUUUGAGUUUGCAUUGGUUUUAGGGUUAGGGUAAGGGUUAGGGUUAAGGUUAGGGUUAGUGUUAGGGUUAUUGAAAGUGUUAGGGUUAGUGUUAAAGUUAGGGUUAGGUAUAAGGUUAUUGAGAGGGUUAGGGUUAGGGUUAGGGUUCAGGGAUAGGGUUAGGGUUAGGGUUAGUUUUAGGGUUAGGGUUAGGGUUAUUGAAAGUUAUUGUGUUAGGGUUAUGGUUAGUGUUAAAGUUAGGGUUAGGGUUAGGUUUACAGUUGGGUUUAGGGUUAGGGUUAGGGUAAGGGUUAAGUUUAGGGUUAGGGUUAAGGAUAGGGUUAAGGUUAGGUUUACAGUAAGUGUUAAGCUUAGGAUUAGGAUUACGGUAAGGGUUAGGGUUAGGUUUAGGGUAGGGUUAAGGUUAGGGUUAGGGUUCGGUAAUGGUUAGGGUUAGGGUAGGGUUAGGUUUAGGGUUAGGGUUAUGGUUAGAGUAAGGUUUAGGGUUAGGGUUAGGGCUAGGGUUAGGGUUAGGUUUAGGGUUAGCGUUAGGGUUAGGGUUAGGGUUAGGGUUAGGGUUAGGAUUAGGGUUACGGAAGGGUUUUGGUUUAGGUUUAAGGUUCUGGUUAUGAUUAGGGUUACGGAUGGGGUUAGGAUUAGGGUUAGGGUUUGGGUUAGGGUUAGGGUUAGGGUUAUGGAUGGGGUUAGGGUUAAGGUAAGGGUAAGGGUAGAGGUAUGGUUAGGGUUAGGUUUAGGGUUAGGGUUAGGGUUAGGGUUUGGGUUAUGGUUAGGUUUGGGGUUCGGGUUAGGAUCAGGGUUAAGUUAGGGUAAGAUUAGGGUUUAGGUUAGGUUUAGGGUUAGGGUUGGGUUAGGGUUAGGGGUUAGGGUUAGGGUUGAGGUUGUGGUUAGUGUUAUGUUUAGCUUUAGGGUCAGAGUUAGGUUUCUGUUAGGAUUAGGAUUAGCGUUAGGCUUAGGGUACGAUUGGGGUAUGGGUUACGGUUAGUGAUAGGGUUAGGAUUAUUGUUAGAGUUAG
ensembl:lncRNA